rnacentral:rRNA from 1 species
GGGAAACUGCCUGAUGGAGGGGGAUAACUACUGGAAACGGUAGCUAAUACCGCAUGACCUCGUAAGAGCAAAGUGGGGGACCUUCGGGCCUCACGCCAUCGGAUGUGCCCAGAUGGGAUUAGCUAGUAGGUGAGGUAAUGGCUCACCUAGGCGACGAUCCCUAGCUGGUCUGAGAGGAUGACCAGCCACACUGGAACUGAGACACGGUCCAGACUCCUACGGGAGGCAGCAGUGGGGAAUAUUGCACAAUGGGCGCAAGCCUGAUGCAGCCAUGCCGCGUGUGUGAAGAAGGCCUUAGGGUUGUAAAGCACCUUCAGCGAGGAGGAAGGGUUCAGUGUUAAUAGCACUGUGCAUUGACGUUACUCGCAGAAGAAGCACCGGCUAACUCCGUGCCAGCAGCCGCGGUAAUACGGAGGGUGCAAGCGUUAAUCGGAAUUACUGGGCGUAAAGCGCACGCAGGCGGUUUGUUAAGUCAGAUGUGAAAUCCCCGAGCUUAACUUGGGAACUGCAUUUGAAACUGGCAAGCUAGAGUCUUGUAGAGGGGGGUAGAAUUCCAGGU